rnacentral:lncRNA from 1 species
GUUUGUACUAGGCUAUAUAUUGGGGGCAGCAGGUAGCCUAGUGGUUAGAGCGUAGGGCCAGUAACCAGAUCGAAUCCCCGAGCUGACAAGAGAGAGAGAGGGAGGGAGGAGAGGAGAGAUGGAUUGAAUUUUCAUCUAACUAGUCCCAGCACUGAUGAGGAUCUUUGGAGUCAAGCCAAGAUGUGACCGUCAUGUUUUAGAUAGAAAACAGAACCCCUGUUUCUAUAGAAACAGAAAUAAUUGACAAUUAGAAAACUAUUAUUCCUAAAAUGCACUCCUCUAGCCGAACCUUCGCUCCGCCCUCGAGGCCUCGUCGCAUCGACACGAGCAGGCGGACCACCACCGCAGCGGAACCAAAGACACACGGCCCUGUUUCCCAGAGGGAAGACAAAAACAUGAACACCAUUUCCUCUCCUCGGCGCUCCACCAAAGCGACCCCCGAGUCUUCCAGGACCAGGGUGGGGGUCCAGCCUCGUGCCCCCAGAUUGGGCUUACAGAGAAACACAGCUCCCCUCUCUACGACCAAACCCAAACCCAAAAGUGUCCGUGCAGCAGCAGCUGUGUCCAAACGCGCCCCUCCUCCUCCUCCUCUUCCUCUUCUUCCUCAUCUGGACCCCAACUGUAAUGAACCCAGCCUGCCUUGUCUGUGCUGCGACGGCCAUUCCCCCCAGGACAAUAACAGUCUGUUCAACCACAACCACAACAACAACAAUACCAUCUCCAUCAGACAGCAGCUGAAGCUUCAGCCCCCUCCACCACCUCCCCUGCUACCCCAGAGACAGGAGGGGACAGGGGGCAAGACCAAGACACAGGCCAGCCCCUCUCAGACCAGGCCCCAGCCUCAGGUCCUGGCCCCGGCCUGCCCCCCUAAUGGCCUGGAACUGGAGAAAGGAAUAAAAGAUGAGGAGAAUGCAGAUGUUAACAAGAACACAGAUGUGGUCAUAGAUAACAAGAAAGAAACAGAGGAAGAGAUGGAUAACAAGAAAGAAAUGGAGGAAGAGAUGGAUAACAAGAAAGAAACGGAGGAAGAGAUGGAUAACAAGAAAGAAACAGAGGAGGAAGAGAUGGAUAACAAGAAAGAAACAGAGGAAGAGAUGGAUAACAAGAAAGAAACAGAGGAGGAAGAGAUGGAUAACAAGAA